GAUGAACGCUAGCGGGAGGCCUAACACAUGCAAGCCGAGCGGUAUUUGUCCUUCGGGACUGAGAGAGCGGCGUACGGGUGCGGAACACGUGUGCAACCUGCCUUUAUCUGGGGGAUAGCCUUUCGAAAGGAAGAUUAAUACCCCAUAAUAUAUCGAAUGGCAUCAUUCGAUAUUGAAAACUCCGGUGGAUAGAGAUGGGCACGCGCAAGAUUUGAUAGUUGGUGUGGUAACGGCUCACCAAGUCAGUGAUCUUUAGGGGGCCUGAGAGGGUGAUCCCCCACAAUGGUACUGAGGCACAGACCAGAAUCGUACGGGAGGCAGCAGUAAGGAAUAUUGGACAAGGGGUGAGAGCCUGAUACAGCCAUCCCGCGUGAAGGAGUAAGGCCCUAUGGGUAGUAAACUUCUUUUAUACAGGGAUAAACCUACUUACGAGUAAGUAGCUGAAGGUACAGUAUGAAUAAGCACCGGCUAACUCCGUG
rnacentral:rRNA from 1 species